CUUUGGCAUUAUCCAACGUGGUAAAAUACUUGCUGUUUCUAGCAGUCGUAUUUGUUAGUUUCUCGUUGGAUCGCACAACCUCGUAAGAGAUUUUGGGCUCUCUGUAACUAUUCUUUAGUAGCAAACUCUAAAUCCCAGGUUUAGCUACCAUAUGCCCUUGUUCCCAUUGUAAUUGUAAGUUAAUUAUAAAAAUUCUUAUUCUAAUAACUUCUAGCACUCUCGGUGGACAAAGUCCUAAACUUUACUUAAUCUUUAAUAUGUGUUCCAAACCGGAGUGUAUCCCUUUUCAAAUCUAUUCUUAGGGGCUUCGCGCACAUAUACGGUUCUCUAAUUCUCUAAUCAUUGUUUGAUUUACUCCUGCGCAUCUCAAAAAAGAUAGCUGACGCUCGACGUCAGUCACCUUUAAAUCACUGAGUUUUCUUUCAACCCUUCAGAGAAACUAGUUUACAGUUAAACGCCUCAUUAUCGAGACAUCAAUACCAUCAGCGUAACACUUACUCUCCCGACGGUGUCAUAACGCUAUCCUCUAAGCACACGAUAUGCUUUUUUAUCAGAAAGCAAAGCGAGCCCAAUUAUUUAACUUACCAGAAACGAAUUAACGAUUCGUGUACACUUAGAUGUUCAAAUAA